UACGGAGGGUGCAAACGUUGCUCGGAAUUAUUGGGCGUAAAGCGCACGCAGGCGGACCAUCAAGUCGGAUGUGAAAUCCCUCGGCUCAACCGAGGAACUGCGUCCGAUACUGGUGGGCUUGAAUCCGGGAGAGGGAUGUGGAAUUCCAGGUGUAGCGGUGAAAUGCGUAGAUAUCUGGAGGAACACCGGUGGCGAAGGCGGCAUCCUGGACCGGUAUUGACGCUGAUGCGCGAAAGCCAGGGGAGCAAACGGG
rnacentral:rRNA from 1 species